AAGUCGUAACAAGGUUUCCGUAGGUGAACCUGCGGAAGGAUCAUUAAUGAGUAAGGGUCUUUCCAGGCCCGACCUCCAACCCUUUGUAUAACUACCAUGUUGCUUUGGCGGGCCCGUCUUUAACCGGACCGCCGGGGGUCUUUAACCUCUGGCCAGUGCUCGUCAGUAGCCCAUCACAAAUUCUUUAACCAUGUUAAAUCUGAAACUAGUUAAAUAAACUAAAACUUUCAACAACGGAUCUCUUGGUUCUG
rnacentral:misc_RNA from 1 species